rnacentral:rRNA from 1 species
UACGGAGGGGGCUAGCGUUGUUCGGAAUUACUGGGCGUAAAGCGCACGUAGGCGGCUUUGCAAGUCAGAGGUGAAAGCCCGGGGCUCAACCCCGGAAUAGCCUUUGAGACUGCAUCGCUAGAAUUGUGGAGAGGUAAGUGGAAUUCCGAGUGUAGAGGUGAAAUUCGUAGAUAUUCGGAAGAACACCAGUGGCGAAGGCGACUUACUGGACAAAUAUUGACGCUGAGGUGCGAAAGCGUGGGGAGCAAACAGG